GCUUCUGCUGACGGAGUCGGAACCUGCGGAGACCAGGAUGGUGUUGCUCGAGAGCGAGCAGUUCCUGACGGAGCUGACCAGGCUCUUCCAGAAGUGCCGGUCAUCGGGCAGCGUGUUCAUCACCCUGAAGAAGUAUGAUGGUCGCACUAAACCAAUCCCACGGAAGAGUUCCGUGGAGGGCCUCGAGCCCGCAGAAAACAAGUGUCUGUUAAGGGCCACGGAUGGGAAAAGGAAGAUCAGCACAGUGGUGAGCUCCAAAGAAGUGAAUAAGUUUCAGAUGGUAAGUUCCAUUUGCUUGCUCUCCAUUCUUCCUUGAGGCGAGCCAUGCUGCUCAGGGUAGGAACCGGACCUCACCGCUUGCCUGUGCUCUUAUUUUAUGAAAAUAGGUCACCUGGGUUUUCCCUGCUUGCCUGCCUGCCUGCCUUUUUCUUUUUCUGGUUUUCUGAGACAGGGUUUCUCUGUGUAGCCCUGUUGUCCUGGACCUCACUCUGUAGACCAGGCUGGCCUUGAUUCCUUUCCAUCUUUAAGACUAGUUCUUUCCUAAACUUCAGACAUGCUCUAUAUUGCUGAGUAGGACAUUGCCUGCAGUUUUUCCUUUUUGUUUGAAAGGAGUGUGAAGCUUGCAGCUCCCUGUGGAAUACGUCUCAGGAGCUGCUGAAGGAGUGCAGACACCGUGGCACCCGGGUUGCCAGUAUAGGUGUCGCAGUAGGCUUUCUCAUGCCAGCCACUCUAAGUCCCAUGGAAAGUCUCCUGCUUCCCAGUUUGUACCUUUUCUUGCUAAGGCCAUGUUCUGGCUUUCAGGCCUAUUCAAAUCUACUGAGAGCCAACAUGGAUGGGCUGA
rnacentral:lncRNA from 1 species